CCUGGGAACCGCUCUCCCACCACCUUACUCUCACCUAAAUGGCUUAACCAGCCUUCCGGGUCCCGUGGAGUGAGAUCAUCGUGGCUUUCCUUUCCCGGCAACUGUGAUUGGCUCAGGGACGGGCAUGUGACACCGUCAGGGCCAAUGAGAUGCAACGAGACUGUUGCAGCGGCUUCUGGGAAUGCUGUACACUUUUGUCCCUGUUGCGGCCAUGACAGGAGAGUCUAAGAGUGGACUUGAGAGAGGAGGGAGGAGCUCAGAGAUCAGGAGACACUAGGCAGGACCUGGUGACGUCAUCUGAACCUCUGGAUCCAGCUGUGCCCGAGACUAACGACUCCUUGCCCUUCGUAUAAGGCUCUGGAGGCCACACACCGAACUCCGCAUCCUGCAGCCUGAAGAAAAUGAAAUAAAACUCUUCCGGCGAUGCCAGAGGCUGGGAUUCAUCGUUUACCCAGGACGGAGACCGUGGGCCCCCUGAGAAGAGAGACUGGCUGUGCUCAGAACUUCCCUGAUGUCUGCGCUCGAGGGGAUGGCCCGGUGGACGGAGCGCCUGAUUGGGGGCACUUCUGUGAGGGUCUCAGGCACUUCCUGGGGGCUAG